AGAGUUUGAUCAUGGCUCAGGACGAACGCUGGCGGCGUGCCUAAUACAUGCAAGUCGAACGCACUGACAGAGAAACUUGUUUCUCUCGACGUGAGUGGCGCACGGGUGAGUAACACGUGGGAAACCUACCCUUCAGCGGGGGAUAACCGUCGGAAACGAUGGCUAAUACCGCAUAGGUCUUUUAACCGCCUGGUUGAAAGAGGAAAGACGGCUUCGGCUGUCACUGAAGGAUGGUCCCGCGGUGCAUUAGCUAGUUGGUAAGGUAACGGCUUACCAAGGCGAUGAUGCAUAGCCGACCUGAGAGGGUGAUCGGCCACAUAGGGACUGAGACACGGCCCAAACUCCUACGGGAGGCAGCAGUAGGGAAUCUUCCGCAAUGGACGCAAGUCUGACGGAGCAACGCCGCGUGUGUGAAGAAGGUCUUCGGAUCGUAAAGCACUGUUAUUAGAGAAGAACAACCGGUAGAGUAACUGUUACCGGCUUGACGGUAUCUAACCAGAAAGCCACGGCUAACUACGUGCCAGCAGCCGCGGUAAUACGUAGGUGGCAAGCGUUGUCCGGAUUUAUUGGGCAUAAAGGGAGCGCAGGCGGUGACUUAAGUCUGAUGUGAAAGCCCACGGCUCAACCGUGGAAGGUCAUUGGAAACUGGGUCACUUGAGUGCAGAAGAGGAAAGUGGAAUUCCAUGUGUAGCGGUGAAAUGCGUAGAUAUAUGGAGGAACACCAGUGGCGAAGGCGAC
rnacentral:rRNA from 1 species